rnacentral:rRNA from 1 species
ACGGGAGGCAGCAGUGGGGAAUAUUGGACAAUGGGCGCAAGCCUGAUCCAGCGACGCCGCGUGAGUGAAGAAGUAUUUCGGUAUGUAAAGCUCUAUCAGCAGGGAAGAUAAUGACGGUACCUGACUAAGAAGCCCCGGCUAACUACGUGCCAGCAGCCGCGGUAAUACGGAGGAUGCGAGCGUUAUCCGGAUUUAUUGGGUUUAAAGGGUGCGUAGGCUGUGCUGCAAGUCAGGGGUGAAAGCCCAGUGCCUAACACUGGAACUGCCUUUGAUACUGCAGCGCUGGAAUACGGAUGCCGUGGGAGGAAUGAGUAGUGUAGCGGUGAAAUGCAUAGAUAUUACUCAGAACACCGAUUGCGAAGGCAUCUCACGAAUCCGUCAUUGACGCUGAGGCACGAAAGCGUGGGGAUCAAACAGGAUUAGAUACCCUGGUA